UUAAGUUAGAAAGGGCGCACGGUGGAUGCCUUGGCACUAGGAGCCGAUGAAGGACGGGACGAACACCGAUAUGCUUCGGGGAGCUGUAAGCAAGCUUUGAUCCGGAGAUUUCCGAAUGGGGAAACCCACCACUCGUAAUGGAGUGGUAUCCAUAUCUGAAUACAUAGGAUAUGAGAAGGCAGACCCGGGGAACUGAAACAUCUAAGUACCCGGAGGAAGAGAAAGCAAAUGCGAUUCCCUGAGUAGCGGCGAGCGAAACGGGAUCAGCCCAAACCAAGAGGCUUGCCUCUUGGGGUUGUAGGACACUCUGUACGGAGUUACAAAGGAACGAGGUAGAUGAAGAGGUCUGGAAAGGCCCGCCAUAGGAGGUAACAGCCCUGUAGUCAAAACUUCGUUCUCUCCUGAGUGGAUCCUGAGUACGGCGGAACACGUGAAAUUCCGUCGGAAUCCGGGAGGACCAUCUCCCAAGGCUAAAUACUCCCUAGUGACCGAUAGUGAACCAGUACCGUGAGGGAAAGGUGAAAAGCACCCCGGAAGGGGAGUGAAAGAGAUCCUGAAACCGUGUGCCUACAAGUAGUCAGAGCCCGUUAACGGGUGAUGGCGUGCCUUUUGUAGAAUGAACCGGCGAGUUACGAUCCCGUGCAAGGUUAAGCAGAAGAUGCGGAGCCGCAGCGAAAGCGAGUCUGAAUAGGGCGAAUUGAGUACGUGGUCGUAGACCCGAAACCAGGUGAUCUACCCAUGUCCAGGGUGAAGUUCAGGUAACACUGAAUGGAGGCCCGAACCCACGCACGUUGAAAAGUGCGGGGAUGAGGUGUGGGUAGGGGUGAAAUGCCAAUCGAACCUGGAGAUAGCUGGUUCUCUCCGAAAUAGCUUUAGGGCUAGCCUCAAGGUAAGAGUCUCGGAGGUAGAGCACUGAUUGGACUAGGGGCCCCUACCGGGUUACCGAAUUCAGUCAAACUCCGAAUGCCGAUGACUUAUCCUUGGGAGUCAGACUGCGAGUGAUAAGAUCCGUAGUCGAAAGGGAAACAGCCCAGACCGCCAGCUAAGGUCCCAAAGUAUACGUUAAGUGGAAAAGGAUGUGGAGUUGCUUAGACAACCAGGAUGUUGGCUUAGAAGCAGCCACCAUUUAAAGAGUGCGUAAUAGCUCACUGGUCGAGUGACUCUGCGCCGAAAAUGUACCGGGGCUAAACGUAUCACCGAAGCUGCGGACUGUUCUUCGAACAGUGGUAGGAGAGCGUUCUAAGGGCUGUGAAGCAAGACCGGAAGGACUUGUGGAGCGCUUAGAAGUGAGAAUGCCGGUAUGAGUAGCGAAAGAGGGGUGAGAAUCCCCUCCACCGAAUGCCUAAGGUUUCCUGAGGAAGGCUCGUCCGCUCAGGGUUAGUCGGGACCUAAGCCGAGGCCGAAAGGCGUAGGCGAUGGAUAACAGGUUGAUAUUCCUGUACCACCUCCUCACCAUUUGAGCAAUGGGGGGACGCAGGAGGAUAGGGUAAGCGCGGUAUUGGAUAUCCGCGUCCAAGCAGUUAGGCUGGGAAAUAGGCAAAUCCGUUUCCCGUGAAGGCUGAGCUGUGAUGGCGAGCGAAUUAUAGUAGCGAAGUUCCUGAUUCCACACUGCCAAGAAAAGCCUCUAGCGAGGUGAGAGGUGCCCGUACCGCAAACCGACACAGGUAGGCGAGGAGAGAAUCCUAAGGUGAUCGAGAGAACUCUCGUUAAGGAACUCGGCAAAAUGACCCCGUAACUUCGGGAGAAGGGGUGCUCUGUUAGGGUGCAAGCCCGAGAGAGCCGCAGUGAAUAGGCCCAGGCGACUGUUUAGCAAAAACACAGGUCUCUGCGAAGCCGUAAGGCGAAGUAUAGGGGCUGACGCCUGCCCGGUGCUGGAAGGUUAAGAGGAGCGCUUAGCGUAAGCGAAGGUGCGAAUUGAAGCCCCAGUAAACGGCGGCCGUAACUAUAACGGUCCUAAGGUAGCGAAAUUCCUUGUCGGGUAAGUUCCGACCCGCACGAAAGGCGCAACGAUCUGGGCACUGUCUCAACGAGAGACUCGGUGAAAUUAUAGUACCUGUGAAGAUGCAGGUUACCCGCGACAGGACGGAAAGACCCCGUGGAGCUUUACUGCAGCCUGAUAUUGAAUGUUGGUACAGCUUGUACAGGAUAGGUAGGAGCCUUGGAAACCGGAGCGCCAGCUUCGGUGGAGGCAUCGGUGGGAUACUACCCUGGCUGUAUUGACCUUCUAACCCGCCGCCCUUAUCGGGCGGGGAGACAGUGUCAGGUGGGCAGUUUGACUGGGGCGGUCGCCUCCUAAAAGGUAACGGAGGCGCCCAAAGGUUCCCUCAGAAUGGUUGGAAAUCAUUCGCAGAGUGUAAAGGCACAAGGGAGCUUGACUGCGAGACCUACAAGUCGAGCAGGGACGAAAGUCGGGCUUAGUGAUCCGGUGGUUCCGCAUGGAAGGGCCAUCGCUCAACGGAUAAAAGCUACCCCGGGGAUAACAGGCUUAUCUCCCCCAAGAGUCCACAUCGACGGGGAGGUUUGGCACCUCGAUGUCGGCUCAUCGCAUCCUGGGGCUGUAGUCGGUCCCAAGGGUUGGGCUGUUCGCCCAUUAAAGCGGUACGCGAGCUGGGUUCAGAACGUCGUGAGACAGUUCGGUCCCUAUCCGUCGCGGGCGCAGGAAAUUUGAGAGGAGCUGUCCUUAGUACGAGAGGACCGGGAUGGACGCACCGCUGGUGUACCAGUUGUUCUGCCAAGGGCAUCGCUGGGUAGCUAUGUGCGGACGGGAUAAGUGCUGAAAGCAUCUAAGCAUGAAGCCCCCCUCAAGAUGAGAUUUCCCAUUCCGCAAGGAAGUAAGAUCCCUGAAAGAUGAUCAGGUUGAUAGGUCUGAGGUGGAAGUGUGGCGACACAUGGAGCUGACAGAUACUAAUCGAUCGAGGACUUAACC
rnacentral:rRNA from 1 species